GUUGAACGCUGGCGGCAUGCUUUACACAUGCAAGUCGAACGGUAACAGGUUAAGCUGACGAGUGGCGAACGGGUGAGUAAUGCAUCGGAACGUGCCCGAUCGUGGGGGAUAACGCAGCGAAAGCUGCGCUAAUACCGCAUACGACCUGAGGAUGAAAGCGGGGGACCGUAAGGCCUCGCGCGAUCGGAGCGGCCGAUGUCAGAUUAGGUAGUUGGUGGGGUAAAGGCUCACCAAGCCGACGAUCUGUAGCUGGUCUGAGAGGACGACCAGCCACACUGGGACUGAGACACGGCCCAGACUCCUACGGGAGGCAGCAGUGGGGAAUUUUGGACAAUGGGCGCAAGCCUGAUCCAGCAAUGCCGCGUGCAGGAAGAAGGCCUUCGGGUUGUAAACUGCUUUUGUACGGAGCGAAAAGGCUCUCUCUAAUACAGGGGGCUCAUGACGGUACCGUAAGAAUAAGCACCGGCUAACUACGUGCCAGCCGCCGCGGUAA
rnacentral:rRNA from 1 species